AGCGAACGCUGGCGGCAUGCCUAACACAUGCAAGUCGAACGAGACCUUCGGGUCUAGUGGCGCACGGGUGCGUAACGCGUGGGAACCUGCCCUUAGGUUCGGAAUAACUCCCCGAAAGGGGUGCUAAUACCGGAUAAUGUCUUCGGACCAAAGAUUUAUCGCCUUUGGAUGGGCCCGCGUUGGAUUAGCUAGUUGGUAGGGUAAAAGCCUACCAAGGCGACGAUCCAUAGCUGGUCUGAGAGGAUGAUCAGCCACACUGGGACUGAGACACGGCCCAGACUCCUACGGGAGGCAGCAGUGGGGAAUAUUGGGCAAUGGGCGAAAGCCUGAUCCAGCAAUGCCGCGUGAGUGAUGGAGGCCUUAGGGUUGUAAAGCUCUUUUACCCGGGAUGAUAAUGACAGUACCGGGAGAAUAAGCGCCGGCUAACUCCGUG
rnacentral:rRNA from 1 species